rnacentral:rRNA from 1 species
CAGCAGUCGCCGCGGGAAUACGAAGGGGGCUAGCGUUGUUCGGAUUUACUGGGCGUAAAGCGCACGUAGGCGGACUUUUAAGUCAGGGGUGAAAUCCCGGGGCUCAACCCCGGAACUGCCUUUGAUACUGGAAGUCUUGAGUAUGGUAGAGGUGAGUGGAAUUCCGAGUGUAGAGGUAAAAUUCGUAGAUAUUCGGAGGAACACCAGUGGCGAAGGCGGCUCACUGGACCAUUACUGACGCUGAGGUGCGAAAGCGUGGGGAGCAAACAGGAUUAGAUACCCCGGUAGUCCCUGUCUCUUAUAC